rnacentral:rRNA from 1 species
AUUGAACGCUGGCGGCAGGCCUAACACAUGCAAGUCGAGCGGAUGAAGGGAGCUUGCUCCUGGAUUCAGCGGCGGACGGGUGAGUAAUGCCUAGGAAUCUGCCUGGUAGUGGGGGAUAACGUCCGGAAACGGGGGCUAAUACCGCAUACGUCCUGAGGGAGAAAGUGGGGGAUCUUCGGACCUCACGCUAUCAGAUGAGCCUAGGUCGGAUUAGCUAGUUGGUGGGGUAAAGGCCUACCAAGGCGACGAUCCGUAACUGGUCUGAGAGGAUGAUCGGUCACACUGGAACUGAGACACGGUCCAGACUCCUACGGGAGGCAGCAGUGGGGAAUAUUGGACAAUGGGCGAAAGCCUGAUCCAGCCAUGCCGCGUGUGUGAAGAAGGUCUUCGGAUUGUAAAGCACUUUAAGUUGGGAGGAAGGGCAGUAAGUUAAUACCUUGCUGUUUUGACGUUACCAACAGAAUAAGCACCGGCUAACUUCGUG